GCCGCGAUAGCUCAGUUGGUAGAGCGCCUCCAUGGUAAGGAGGAGGUCCCGAGUUCGAAUCUCGGUCGUGGCU
rnacentral:tRNA from 2 species